UGGGCGUUAAGUUGCAGGGUAUAGACCCGAAACCCGGUGAUCUAGCCAUGGGCAGGUUGAAGGUUGGGUAACACUAACUGGAGGACCGAACCGACUAAUGUUGAAAAAUUAGCGGAUGACCUGUGGCUGGGGGUGAAAGGCCAAUCAAACCGGGAGAUAGCUGGUUCUCCCCGAAAGCUAUUUAGGUAGCGCCUCGUGAAUUCAUCUCCGGGGGUAGAGCACUGUUUCGGCUAGGGGGCCAUCCCGGCUUACCAACCCGAUGCAAACUGCGAAUACCGGAGAAUGUUAUCACGGGAGACACACGGCGGGUGCUAACGUCCGUCGUGAAGAGGGAAACAACCCAGACCGCCAGCUAAGGUCCCAAAGUCAUGGUUAAGUGGGAAACGAUGUGGGAAGGCCCAGACAGCCAGGAUGUUGGCUUAGAAGCAGCCAUCAUUUAAAGAAAGCGUAAUAGCUCACUGGUCGAGUCGGCCUGCGCGGAAGAUGUAACGGGGCUAAACCAUGCACCGAAGCUGCGGCAGCGACACUUUAGUGUUGUUGGGUAGGGGAGCGUUCUGUAAGCCGUUGAAGGUGUCCUGUGAGGGGUGCUGGAGGUAUCAGAAGUGCGAAUGCUGACAUAAGUAACGAUAAAGCGGGUGAAAAGCCCGCUCGCCGGAAGACCAAGGGUUCCUGUCCAACGUUAAUCGGGGCAGGGUGAGUCGACCCCUAAGGCGAGGCCGAAAGGCGUAGUCGAUGGGAAACGGGUUAAUAUUCCCGUACUUGGUGUUACUGCGAAGGGGGGACGGAGAAGGCUAUGUUGGCCGGGCGACGGUAGUCCCGGUUUAAGCGUGUAGGCUGGUUUUCCAGGCAAAUCCGGAAAAUCAAGGCUGAGGCGUGAUGACGAGGCACCACGGUGCUGAAGCAACAAAUGCCCUGCUUCCAGGAAAAGCCUCUAAGCAUCAGGUAACAUCAAAUCGUACCCCAAACCGACACAGGUGGUCAGGUAGAGAAUACCAAGGCGCUUGAGAGAACUCGGGUGAAGGAACUAGGCAAAAUGGUGCCGUAACUUCGGGAGAAGGCACGCUGACACGUAGGUGAAGUGAUUUACUCAUGGAGCUGAAGUCAGUCGAAGAUACCAGCUGGCUGCAACUGUUUAUUAAAAACACAGCACUGUGCAAACACGAAAGUGGACGUAUACGGUGUGACGCCUGCCCGGUGCCGGAAGGUUAAUUGAUGGGGUCAGCGCAAGCGAAGCUCCUGAUCGAAGCCCCGGUAAACGGCGGCCGUAACUAUAACGGUCCUAAGGUAGCGAAAUUCCUUGUCGGGUAAGUUCCGACCUGCACGAAUGGCGUAAUGAUGGCCAGGCUGUCUCCACCCGAGACUCAGUGAAAUUGAACUCGCUGUGAAGAUGCAGUGUACCCGCGGCAAGACGGAAAGACCCCGUGAACCUUUACUAUAGCUUGACACUGAACAUUGAGCCUUGAUGUGUAGGAUAGGUGGGAGGCUUUGAAGCGUGGACGCCAGUCUGCGUGGAGCCGACCUUGAAAUACCACCCUUUAAUGUUUGAUGUUCUAACGUGGACCCGUAAUCCGGGUUGCGGACAGUGUCUGGUGGGUAGUUUGACUGGGGCGGUCUCCUCCUAAAGAGUAACGGAGGAGCACGAAGGUUGGCUAAUCCUGGUCGGACAUCAGGAGGUUAGUGCAAUGGCAUAAGCCAGCUUGACUGCGAGCGUGACGGCGCGAGCAGGUGCGAAAGCAGGUCAUAGUGAUCCGGUGGUUCUGAAUGGAAGGGCCAUCGCUCAACGGAUAAAAGGUACUCCGGGGAUAACAGGCUGAUACCGCCCAAGAGUUCAUAUCGACGGCGGUGUUUGGCACCUCGAUGUCGGCUCAUCACAUCCUGGGGCUGAAGUAGGUCCCAAGGGUAUGGCUGUUCGCCAUUUAAAGUGGUACGCGAGCUGGGUUUAGAACGUCGUGAGACAGUUCGGUCC
rnacentral:rRNA from 1 species